rnacentral:lncRNA from 1 species
GGUUGAUUGUUAUUCCGCCAACUCCAUCUAAAACAUCUAGAAAUUUGUAUUAUCAGUUUUAUCGAUUGGAAAUUACUGAUGAUAGCUCUGUUUGUUUCUGAUUCUGAUAGGCAACAGCAUUUGGCAUGAAGAGUGUUGUCUAUGUGCCUCGGAUUAAACCAGACACAAUUGCUGCACUUUCUGCACUAUGUGAGAAGGCCAGCAUGGUGAGCACAGGGUGAGACAUUGUUGCAGUUAAGCUUUAGUUCAUUGUUUUUACCUAUGAUGAACGCUUCCCAUUAUUCAAAAGACCCAGCAUUUUGUUUUCCAAAAUUGUUGCAUUUAAAUCGGCUGCACUAAUGACAGGGUUGUCUGAUUGCACCAACACUAUCCAUAGGAUCUAUACUCCUCCAGCAGGCUGCCAUCUCAGCUUCUUUCCACUACAACAAUGUAGAAAUCGUGGAAUCAAGGUCACAUGCAACAGUAAGUGAAAUGAACUAUACAUAUAGAUCUGCACAUGUAUAAAGUAAAUAAGAGUUGCCCUUUUGCGAAUCUCUAAUUCUCUUCACAUGUAACAAUGAAGUAAGCAUUGUGGACGAAGCACUCAAUGUACUCAAAUUGUCUUUCACACACAGGAUCUUCCAUCACCAGAUGCACACCAAAUUGCAAAGAACCUCUCCAAUCUGGGCCAGCUCUAUAAUAGAGAAGAUCUAUCAACAGAUGUU